AGAGUUUGAUCAUGGCUCAGAGUGAACGUUGGCGGCGUGGAUUAGGCAUGCAAGUCGAGCGAUCGUAGCAAUACGGGAGCGGCAAACGGGGUAGGAAUACAUCGGAACGUACCUUUUGGUUGAGAAUAGCGUUGGGAAACUGACGGUAAUACUCAAUAAAGUCGAGAGACCAAAGGUUUACUGCCGGAAGAGCGGCCGAUGCGAUAUUAGGUAGUUGGUAGGGUAAUGGCCUACCAAGCCUGAGAUGUCUAGGGGGUGUGAGAGCAUGGCCCCCACCACUGGGACUGAGAUACUGCCCAGACACCUACGGGUGGCUGCAGUCGAGGAUCUUCGUCAAUGGGCGAAAGCCUGAACGAGCGACGCCGCGUGCGGGAUGAAGGCCCUUGGGUUAGUAAACCGCUGUCAGGGGGGAUGAAACCGUAAGGUUGACAGAGCCCCAGAGGAAGCACGGGCUAAGUUCGUG
rnacentral:rRNA from 1 species